GUUCGCCAGAAUAUUACGAGCAAAAGCUUAAAACCCAAAGGACUUGACGGUAUUCCACAUCGACCUAGAGGAGCCUGUCCUAUAAUCGAUGAUCCACGUUAAACCUCACCCCCCCUUGCAAAUUCAGCCUGUAUACCGCCGUCGCCAGCCUGCCUGAUGACAGAAACACAGCUAGUAAACCGAGCCCCCCUACAAACGUCAGGUCAAGGUGUAGCUUAUGGGGGGGUAUGAGAUGGGCUACAUUUCUCAAGCUGAGAAAUCACUAAAAGAAACAUGAAACACAAUCUCCCUCAAGGCGGAUUUAGCAGUAAGCUCAGCAAGAUAUGCUGAUCUGAA
rnacentral:rRNA from 1 species